rnacentral:lncRNA from 1 species
UGGAAGGGGAGUGAGCAGACACACUCAGGAGGUGUCUUGAGAUUAUCAUCCGCUGAGGGUGGAGCUGAGGGUGGAAGGGGAGUGAGCAGACACUCGGGAGGUGUCUUGAGAUUAUCAUCCGCUGAGGGUAGAGCUGAGGGUGGAAGGGGAGUGAGCAGACACUCGGGAGGUGUCUUGAGAUUAUCAUCCGCUGAGGGUGGAAGGGGAUAGAGCACACACUCGGAAGGUGUCUUGAGAUUAUCAUCCGCUGAGGGUGGAGCUGAGGGUGGAAGGGGAGUGAGCAGACACUCGGGAGGUGUCUUGAGAUUAUCAUCCGCUGAGGGUGGAAGGGGAUAGAGCACACACUCGGAAGGUGUCUUGAGGCUCAGGGAGUUAUCAAUUAUAGAAUGUUGUUGAGUUGGAGGAGGUGGCUGGUGGCCCAUCCUGUUUUUUAAAGUUUCAGCUGUGAGGUA